ensembl:ncRNA R08B4.14 ncRNA
AUUUCUAAAUAGGUUCAUUAAUGGAUGAGGUAUCUUGAGGCGGGCGGUGCAUAUAUUACGAGAUGUGUAAUGAUAUAAUUAUUGUGUUGGAAUAUCUGAAUUUUCUGUUUUCGAUGUGCCUCGUCUUGCCUUUUUCCUCCUC